UACAGAGGGUGCGAGCGUUGUCCGGAAUCACUGGGCGUAAAGGGCGCGUAGGCGGCCUGAUAAGUAGGGGGUGAAAUCCUGUGGCUUAACUGCAGGGCUGCCUCCUAGACUGUUAGGCUCGAGCACGGUAGAGGCAGAUGGAAUUCCCGGUGUAGCGGUGGAAUGCGUAGAGAUCGGGAGGAACAUCUGUGGCGAAGGCGACUACCUGGACCAGCACUGACACUGAGGCACGAAAGCGUGGGGAGCAAACAGG
rnacentral:rRNA from 1 species